ACCUGUACCGUAAACCAACACAGGUAGGUAGUUAGAGAAUACUAAGGGCUGUGAGACAAGUCUCUUAGUACUAAGGAACUCAGCAAAAUGGCCGUUAUUGCGGGAUAUGGCCGAUC
rnacentral:rRNA from 1 species